GUGCAGAGAGCGGCAACAAGCAACAACUAGGCGUGUGACGUGGCGCCUGUAUCCCUCCUACUUCCUCCUGCAUCAAGAGGAAAAGCGAGGGAGUGAAAAUUGAAAGAGUAUUGGUUUCGUGGAGUUGCAGCUAAUUAGGGCAAGAGAUAGAAUUAUAGAAGGCUUCCAUUAUUUGCAGUAGAUAGAUAUUAUUUUCUUUUUUUUUUUAGUUGAUAAAGGAGGUGAUUAGUUGUAUCCAUGGAACAUACAUUUUGGGGUCAUUUGCCGCUAUUAGUGAGAGCAAACUCAAAGGAAUCGGUGGAAUAUAUACUUCAAGCUCUCUGGAGAACCCGAAAAACCGGUCUCGAUGCGGCCGACCGCCAUGUCAUCUGCGAGAUGCUACAGCUCCAAAACGAUGCCGACCUUGACCCUCUCUUGGUUUGCCUUCGCAUGUUGAUCCGAAGGUGUGUUUAUGAGAAUAUAAGCAAAGAUGAGAUUCAAAAGCUAUUUCCCAAUGAGGUUCUGCCUGAAUUGCAAAGACUGUUAACCAUUCUGUUGCAAAAGUUUCAUAAAGAAUGGAGGGAGGAUGUAUUCAAGGAUCAGGUUAUUUUACCCCGUUUGAAGGCAAUGACAUGGAAUAUGGCAAAUAAGGAUACAGCAGAAGUGACAGAACCCAUGGCUGUGAUAAACUUAAAGCUUCAAAAUGAUGCUCCAUCUCACUCAGGAGAAUUUGAAGUAAAGUUCCAAUUGGCUAAAGAUACUUUAGAAACGAUGGUAAAGUCUAUGUACUGCAUAAGAGACCAGUUAUCUGACAUGGAUAGCACAUCGAACAUGCAUUUAUAACACAAGACCAACAGCUUAGUUUAGUAGUUACCUAUAGGCCUCAAAAUGUUAUGGUGUGGUUCGGAUUUGAAAUCUAUUUUGCUUCAAGAUUCAAUGGUACACUUUUGUAGUUAUUAAAAUUAGCUGGAUCAUAUAGAGAUGCAAAAAUUUUGCUUUGCAUUUGUUUGGUUACUGGGGCCACAACAUCCAGACUGUGACUCUGAAAGGUUUUAUUUAAACCAGUAAAACUUUUAAGAUUCUUUUUUCCUAUAUGCAGCCUUGUAAUUAACAAUAUAAUAUAUGUAAUUUGUGAAGCAGGAUCUGAUAUGAUGAAGAUGUCAGCUUGGUGAAAUUUGGUUCUGUUAGCUGGUUGAAGCAUCUGCUGUAAUGAAAAUUCAUGAGUAAUUGUGUAUGAUAAUUAUGCAAUCGUGUCUUUGUUCAAGGUUUUUCAUUUUCUCUAUAAAAGCUUAAAGAUGCCAAACAUCUGUGGCGCUGAUGCAAUGAUGACUGUGGUAGUAUGGUGGUCAAGUGAGGUAAGGAAAAAGAAGAUGCUUGUUUUCGAAAAAAAUAAUAAAUUCUUUGAUUAAUAUAGUAUUAUGCAAUAUCAUUUUGUUGGAGUUACUAUGAAAGUGAAAGAGCAUGCAUGACCAUAUUUUAUCUGGAAGCUAAAUAAGUGAAACCAUAUGAGAGUCUCCAUAGGCAUUUUGAUGCAAUCUUUAUCAGAGUUAGAUACUAAGAUCGAUGCUAUCUCAGAAAAUCAUGUCUAGCAUAUUCCAGGUAGCUCCAUGAUUUAUUUGUUACUAUAAUUGCUUCUUGUUGUUCACUGAAUAGCUGCACUGACGAUAUUACCUUAUUUGGAGACUCAAGUUUUAUAUGAUUGUAGUAAGGGUUCAUUCAGAUACAUAAUCAUUUAAAUUUUUUUUAUAAA